rnacentral:rRNA from 1 species
CCUACGGGAGGCAGCAGUGAGGAAUAUUGGACAAUGGUCGAAAGACUGAUCCAGCCAUGCCGCGUGCAGGAAGACGGCCCUAUGGGUUGUAAACUGCUUUUGUUUGGGAAGAAACCUUUCUACGUGUAGAAAGCUGACGGUACCAUACGAAUAAGCACCGGCUAACUCCGUGCCAGCAGCCGCGGUAAUACGGAGGGUGCAAGCGUUAUCCGGAUUUAUUGGGUUUAAAGGGUCCGUAGGCGGACUUAUAAGUCAGUGGUGAAAUCCUGCAGCUCAACUGUAGAACUGCCAUUGAUACUGUAAGUCUUGAAUUCGGUUGAAGUGGGCGGAAUAUGGCAUGUAGCGGUGAAAUGCUUAGAUAUGCCAUAGAACACCGAUUGCGUAGGCAGCUCACUAAGCCUGGAUUGACGCUGAGGGACGAAAGCGUGGGUAGCGAACAGGAUUAGAUACCCUGGUAGUCCACGCCGUAAACGAUGAUUACUCGACAUUAGCGAUACACGGUUAGUGUNAUAAGACGAAGACAUUAAGUUAAUACCACCGUCGGGAGGUACGUUACGUCGAAGAAGUAGAAACGUUAAAAGUAAAGUUAGUACGGACGUGAGACGUAGACCGACGGACGACGACGAGGGAGGAGG